CAGUCGCCACGGUAAUACGUAGGGUGCAAGCGUUAAUCGGAAUUACCGGGCGUAAAGCGUGCGCAGGCGGUUUGUUAAGACAGAUGUGAAAUCCCCGGGCUCAACCUGGGAACUGCAUUUGUGACUGGCAAGCUAGAGUCUGGCAGAGGGGGGUGGAAUUCCGCGUGUAGCAGUGAAAUGCGUAGAUAUGCGGAGGAACACCGAUGGCGAAGGCAAUCCCCUGGACCUGUACUGACGCUCAUGCACGAAAGCGUGGGGAGCAAACAGGAUUAGAUACCCCAGUAGUCCCUGUCUCUUAUAC
rnacentral:rRNA from 1 species